rnacentral:lncRNA from 1 species
GGUUCAGAGCACUAAUCUGAAGACAGAGUAUCCUGUCUCCCAGCUUUGCUUUGAAUCAAAGAAUGCUGUACUUAUUCUUGAGUUUUAUAAAGUAUUAACAGUCAUAUGAUAUUUAUGGCUGUCAAAGGAGAGCUGGCUGAGAAAUUCUGGUAUAGUGCCAUCCGGGAGGUUGGACUUGGGAAUCAGCAAGCCUUGAGACGCUGCUCAUCUCUCCAGGCUGUGUGACACAAGCAACUGCUUGACCAUACUAAUCUCUAAAGGGAAGAGUACCGAAACCUC